rnacentral:rRNA from 1 species
UACGGGGGGGGCAAGCGUUGUUCGGAAUCAUUGGGCGUAAAGAGUGUGUAGGCGGUGCUCUAAGUCUGUUGUGAAAUCUCCCGGCUUAACUGGGAGGGUGCGGCGGAGACUGGAGUGCUAGAGUGUGGGAGAGGUAAGCGGAAUUCCUGGUGUAGCGGUGAAAUGCGUAGAUAUCAGGAGGAACACCUGUGGUGUAGACAGCUUACUGGACCACGACUGACGCUGAGACACGAAAGCGUGGGUAGCAAACAGG